UUAUAUUAAAAUAAUACACAAGAUAAAUUUUAUAAAGUUUAAUUAAAAUGCAUUAUUAAUUUGGGAUUUUUUACAUAUUAUGCGGUCCCUGGUACGAUCCGCACGGGGGAGGUCUAACUACUCGUCUAGACGGCUCACAUGGUGGUGGUGCUUCCCUAUUCCCACCCCUAGUCGUAACGCGUCCCUUUGCCCUUUGCCGUUGUGGUUGGAUCGAAGUCCCUUCAAUGCUGUAGGAAAGGCGGGUGCC
rnacentral:lncRNA from 1 species